GACGAACGCUGGCGGCGUGCUUAACACAUGCAAGUCGAACGGAAAGGCCCUGCUUUUGUGGGGUGCUCGAGUGGCGAACGGGUGAGUAACACGUGAGUAACCUGCCCUUGACUUUGGGAUAACUUCAGGAAACUGGGGCUAAUACCGGAUAGGAGCUCCUGCUGCAUGGUGGGGGUUGGAAAGUUUCGGCGGUUGGGGAUGGACUCGCGGCUUAUCAGCUUGUUGGUGGGGUAGUGGCUUACCAAGGUUUUGACGGGUAGCCGGCCUGAGAGGGUGACCGGCCACCUUGGGACCUGGGUUCCGCCCCGGCUCCUACGGGAGGCAGCAGGGGGGAAUAUUGCCCCAUGGGCCGAAGCCUGAUUGAGCCACGCCGCCUGCGGGAUGACGGCCUUCCGGUUUGUAACCCCCUUUCCCUGGUACCAAGCCGUAGGGACCGUAAUGGGUAAAGAAGCCCCCGCUAACUUCGGU
rnacentral:rRNA from 1 species